rnacentral:rRNA from 1 species
UACGAAGGGGGCUAGCGUUGUUCGGAAUACUGGGCGUAAAGCGUGCGCAGGCGGCUUCUCAAGUCAGGGGUGAAAGCCCAGAGCUCAACUCUGGAAUUGCCUUUGAGACUGAGUGGCUUGAGUACGAGAGAGGUGAGUGGAAUUCCCGGUGUAGCGGUGAAAUGCGCAGAUAUCGGGAAGAACACCCGUGGCGAAGGCGGCUCUCUCGGGAGCGGUACUGACGCUGAGACGCGAAAGCGUGGGGGGAGCGAACAGG